GAAAAGAAGAGGAUAAAAUGGACUGAUUGAUACAGCUCACAGGACAGCUGAGCCGGGGAUAUAGAAUGCGAAGUCAAUAAAAACAAAUUCGAAAUAGGCCUACAUGCACCCAAUUUCAUCGAUCACGGGAAUACAGGAUUGAUUACUACGUCGAUUAAACAUAAUCCUGAUAGAAUUAAUGUUCUUUUUUAAUUAAUUAAUACUCCAAAAAUAAAAACGUCCAACAUUACUUCUUUCAUGUAAACAGGGAUGUAUAUAUUCAACUUCAAUAUUAACUGUAGGACGUUAAACGACAUACAUGUACGAUCAAUAUAUUAACUGUAAAGCCUUAUGACCCCCUUCCCAAACACAGGCACCUGAAGUAUGGAUAAUACCCCCCCCCUUUUUUUUAUAUUUUUUUUUUAAUUUAACAAAAAAAAAAGGGGGGGUAUCAUCCAUACUUCAGGCGCCCGUGUUCCCAAAUACUCUUACAAUUAUGAGAAAGACAUUUUAUUUUCUUAAAAUAGGCAUUAGAAAUAGGAAUUUUCUUAUUUGUCUUAGCUAGAACAAUCCCCAAUUUAUCCAAUGUUGUCACCAAACAGGUCUGCACUGGGUCCAUAAGACAUUCAUCAUUCAAUGGUAGAACAUUUUAUCUACAUUUGUCAUAUUUUACAGAGAUCCAGGAGGUACUGAAAAAGGGACAAUGCUUCGACUGAAUGUGUCAUCCAUGUACCAGUAUAGACCUGUUAAUGAGGCAUAUCCAAUAAUUCUUAUACUCAUGAAGAGUGCGGCAACUCCCAAGUAGUUAAGGAUGGCACUCAUUUUAAAUCAGAUCCUCACUUCUAGGAUGUUUUCCAUGUUCUUGUGAAAAGUGUUUUACAUGGCACCAUUCAGCUACAAAUACUUUGCCGGUGGAACUGUGACAUCAAUCAACUGCUCAUGCCACUGCUAAUUGGCAGAAUUUCCUUUGGGACAAGCAAACUGUUUCAAAUAUUUUACACCUGCAAGUAGUGAUGAGUGUACUGGAAGUUUUUUCGGGAUCUUGUCCGACAUCAUAGGUACAACUGGUCACUGUGCUUUCUUGGUUAUAUAAGCAGGCAUAUUGUUAAAGCGGUGACACAUGUAGCUUCAAAUGAUGCUUGACUGUUUAAGUGUUUUUCUUUGAUUUAUAAGUAAACCUGGAUUGAUCUCUGAUGCAGUAAUAUAGAGCCAUGUCCAUUCUUUAAUAUUCCAUCAUCCCACUGUCACAAAGUACUGAAAUAAAAAUGAUUUUGAUUUUAAAAA